UAAGCGACUAAGCGUACACGGUGGAUGCCCUGGCAGUCAGAGGCGAUGAAGGACGUGCUAAUCUGCGAUAAGCGUCGGUAAGGUGAUAUGAACCGUUAUAACCGGCGAUUUCCGAAUGGGGAAACCCAGUGUGAUUCGUCACACUAUCAUUAACUGAAUCCAUAGGUUAAUGAGGCGAACCGGGGGAACUGAAACAUCUAAGUACCCCGAGGAAAAGAAAUCAACCGAGAUUCCCCCAGUAGCGGCGAGCGAACGGGGAGGAGCCCAGAGCCUGAAUCAGUGUGUGUGUUAGUGGAAGCGUCUGGAAAGGCGCGCGAUACAGGGUGACAGCCCCGUACACAAAAAUGCACAUGCUGUGAGCUCGAUGAGUAGGGCGGGACACGUGGUAUCCUGUCUGAAUAUGGGGGGACCAUCCUCCAAGGCUAAAUACUCCUGACUGACCGAUAGUGAACCAGUACCGUGAGGGAAAGGCGAAAAGAACCCCGGCGAGGGGAGUGAAAAAGAACCUGAAACCGUGUACGUACAAGCAGUGGGAGCACGCUUCGGCGUGUGACUGCGUACCUUUUGUAUAAUGGGUCAGCGACUUAUAUUCUGUAGCAAGGUUAACCGAAUAGGGGAGCCGAAGGGAAACCGAGUCUUAACUGGGCGUUAAGUUGCAGGGUAUAGACCCGAAACCCGGUGAUCUAGCCAUGGGCAGGUUGAAGGUUGGGUAACACUAACUGGAGGACCGAACCGACUAAUGUUGAAAAAUUAGCGGAUGACUUGUGGCUGGGGGUGAAAGGCCAAUCAAACCGGGAGAUAGCUGGUUCUCCCCGAAAGCUAUUUAGGUAGCGCCUCGUGAAUUCAUCUCCGGGGGUAGAGCACUGUUUCGGCAAGGGGGUCAUCCCGACUUACCAACCCGAUGCAAACUGCGAAUACCGGAGAAUGUUAUCACGGGAGACACACGGCGGGUGCUAACGUCCGUCGUGAAGAGGGAAACAACCCAGACCGCCAGCUAAGGUCCCAAAGUCAUGGUUAAGUGGGAAACGAUGUGGGAAGGCCCAGACAGCCAGGAUGUUGGCUUAGAAGCAGCCAUCAUUUAAAGAAAGCGUAAUAGCUCACUGGUCGAGUCGGCCUGCGCGGAAGAUGUAACGGGGCUAAACCAUGCACCGAAGCUGCGGCAGCGACACUAUGUGUUGUUGGGUAGGGGAGCGUUCUGUAAGCCUGUGAAGGUGUACUGUGAGGUAUGCUGGAGGUAUCAGAAGUGCGAAUGCUGACAUAAGUAACGAUAAAGCGGGUGAAAAGCCCGCUCGCCGGAAGACCAAGGGUUCCUGUCCAACGUUAAUCGGGGCAGGGUGAGUCGACCCCUAAGGCGAGGCCGAAAGGCGUAGUCGAUGGGAAACAGGUUAAUAUUCCUGUACUUGGUGUUACUGCGAAGGGGGGACGGAGAAGGCUAUGUUGGCCGGGCGACGGUUGUCCCGGUUUAAGCGUGUAGGCUGGUUUUCCAGGCAAAUCCGGAAAAUCAAGGCUGAGGCGUGAUGACGAGGCACUACGGUGCUGAAGCAACAAAUGCCCUGCUUCCAGGAAAAGCCUCUAAGCAUCAGGUAACAUCAAAUCGUACCCCAAACCGACACAGGUGGUCAGGUAGAGAAUACCAAGGCGCUUGAGAGAACUCGGGUGAAGGAACUAGGCAAAAUGGUGCCGUAACUUCGGGAGAAGGCACGCUGAUAUGUAGGUGAAGCGACUUGCUCGUGGAGCUGAAAUCAGUCGAAGAUACCAGCUGGCUGCAACUGUUUAUUAAAAACACAGCACUGUGCAAACACGAAAGUGGACGUAUACGGUGUGACGCCUGCCCGGUGCCGGAAGGUUAAUUGAUGGGGUUAGCGGUAACGCGAAGCUCUUGAUCGAAGCCCCGGUAAACGGCGGCCGUAACUAUAACGGUCCUAAGGUAGCGAAAUUCCUUGUCGGGUAAGUUCCGACCUGCACGAAUGGCGUAAUGAUGGCCAGGCUGUCUCCACCCGAGACUCAGUGAAAUUGAACUCGCUGUGAAGAUGCAGUGUACCCGCGGCAAGACGGAAAGACCCCGUGAACCUUUACUAUAGCUUGACACUGAACAUUGAGCCUUGAUGUGUAGGAUAGGUGGGAGGCUUUGAAGUGUGGACGCCAGUCUGCAUGGAGCCGACCUUGAAAUACCACCCUUUAAUGUUUGAUGUUCUAACGUUGACCCGUGAUCCGGGUUGCGGACAGUGUCUGGUGGGUAGUUUGACUGGGGCGGUCUCCUCCUAAAGAGUAACGGAGGAGCACGAAGGUUGGCUAAUCCUGGUCGGACAUCAGGAGGUUAGUGCAAUGGCAUAAGCCAGCUUGACUGCGAGCGUGACGGCGCGAGCAGGUGCGAAAGCAGGUCAUAGUGAUCCGGUGGUUCUGAAUGGAAGGGCCAUCGCUCAACGGAUAAAAGGUACUCCGGGGAUAACAGGCUGAUACCGCCCAAGAGUUCAUAUCGACGGCGGUGUUUGGCACCUCGAUGUCGGCUCAUCACAUCCUGGGGCUGAAGUAGGUCCCAAGGGUAUGGCUGUUCGCCAUUUAAAGUGGUACGCGAGCUGGGUUUAGAACGUCGUGAGACAGUUCGGUCCCUAUCUGCCGUGGGCGCUGGAGAACUGAGGGGGGCUGCUCCUAGUACGAGAGGACCGGAGUGGACGCAUCACUGGUGUUCGGGUUGUCAUGCCAAUGGCACUGCCCGGUAGCUAAAUGCGGAAGAGAUAAGUGCUGAAAGCAUCUAAGCACGAAACUUGCCCCGAGAUGAGUUCUCCCUGACUCCUUGAGAGUCCUGAAGGAACGUUGAAGACGACGACGUUGAUAGGCCGGGUGUGUAAGCGCAGCGAUGCGUUGAGCUAACCGGUACUAAUGAACCGUGAGGCUUAACCU
rnacentral:rRNA from 1 species